rnacentral:rRNA from 1 species
CUACGGGAGGCAGCAGUAAGGAAUAUUGCGCAAUGGAGGCAACUCUGACGCAGCCAUGCCGCGUGCAGGAAGAAGGCCUUAUGGGUCGUAAACUGCUUUUAUUUAGGAAUAAACCCCCGAACGUGUUCGGGGCUGAAGGUACUAAACGAAUAAGCACCGGCUAACGCCGUGCCAGCAGCCGCGGUAAUACGGAGGGUGCAAGCGUUAUCCGGAUUUAUUGGGUUUAAAGGGUGCGCAGGCGGGCUAUUAAGUCAGUGGUGAAAUCGCGGGGCUCAACUCCGGAACUGCCAUUGAUACUGAUAGUCUUGAGUUUGGUUGAAGUGGGCAGAAUGUAGCAUGUAGCGGUGAAAUGCAUAGAUAUGCUACAGAACACCAAUCGCGAAGGCAGCUCACUAAGCCAAAACUGACGCUCAUGCACGAAAGCGUGGGGAUCAAACAGGAUUAGAUACCCUAGUAGUC